rnacentral:rRNA from 1 species
GACGAACGCUGGCGGCGUGCCUAAUACAUGCAAGUCGAGCGGACCGAACAGGAGCUUGCUCUUGUUCGGUUAGCGGCGGACGGGUGAGUAACACGUGGGUAACCUGCCCGUAAGACCGGGAUAACUCCGGGAAACCGGAGCUAAUACCGGAUAACACCGAAGACCGCAUGGUCUUUGGUUGAAAGGCGGCCUCGGCUGCCACUUACGGAUGGGCCCGCGGCGCAUUAGCUAGUUGGUGAGGUAACGGCUCACCAAGGCGACGAUGCGUAGCCGGCCUGAGAGGGUGACCGGCCACACUGGGACUGAGACACGGCCCAGACUCCUACGGGAGGCAGCAGUAGGGAAUCUUCCGCAAUGGACGAAAGUCUGACGGAGCGACGCCGCGUGAGCGAAGAAGGUCUUCGGAUCGUAAAGCUCUGUUGUUAGGGAAGAAGAAGCGUCGUUCGAACAGGGCGGCGCGGUGACGGUACCUAACGAGAAAGCCCCGGCUAACUACGUG